rnacentral:rRNA from 1 species
GCUUAACACAUGCAAGUCGAACGGAAUCCAUGGUGUAGCAAUACACCGGAAGAUUUAGUGGCGAACGGGUGAGGAUCACGUGAGAAACCUGCCCCAGACUUUGGGAUAACAAUUGGAAACGAUUGCUAAUACCGAAUGACGUCGGAGAACCGCAUGGUUCACUGACGAAAGGAAAUCCGGUUUGGGAGGGUCUCGCGGCCUAUCAGCUUGUUGGUGGGGUAAUGGCCUACCAAGGCAACGACGGGUAGCUGGUCUGAGAGGAUGAUCAGCCACACUGGGACUGAGACACGGCCCAGACUCCUACGGGAGGCAGCAGUGGGGAAUCUUGCGCAAUGGGCGAAAGCCUGACGCAGCAACGCCGCGUGCGGGAUGAAGGCCUUCGGGCUGUAAACCGCUUUCAGCAGGAACGAAAAUGACGGUACCUGCAGAAGAAGGAGCGGCCAACUACGUGCCAGCAGCCGCGGUGACACGUAGGCUCCAAGCGUUGUCCGGAUUUAUUGGGCGUAAAGAGCUCGUAGGCGGUUUAGUAAGUCGGGUGUUAAAACUCUGGGCUCAACCCGGAGAGGCCAUCCGAUACUGCUGUGACUUGAGUUCAGGAGGGGAGCGGGGAAUUCCUAGUGUAGCGGUGAAAUGCGCAGAUAUUAGGAGGAACACCGGUGGCGAAGGCGCCGCUCUGGACUGAAACUGACGCUGAGGAGCGAAAGCAUGGGUAGCAAACAGGAUUAGAUACCCUGGUAGUCCAUGCCGUAAACGGUGGGCACUAGGUGUGGGUUCCAACUAACGGG